rnacentral:rRNA from 1 species
AGCUCGCGGCCUAUCAGCUAGUUGGUGAGGUAAUGGCUCACCAAGGCGACGACGGGUAGCCGGCCUGAGAGGGCGACCGGCCACACUGGGACUGAGACACGGCCCAGACUCCUACGGGAGGCAGCAGUGGGGAAUAUUGCACAAUGGGCGAAAGCCUGAUGCAGCGACGCCGCGUGAGGGAUGACGGCCUUCGGGUUGUAAACCUCUUUCAGCAGGGAAGAAGCGAAAGUGACGGUACCUGCAGAAGAAGCACCGGCUAACUACGUGCCAGCAGCCGCGGUAAUACGUAGGGUGCAAGCGUUGUCCGGAAUUAUUGGGCGUAAAGAGCUCGUAGGCGGUUUGUCGCGUCUGCUGUGAAAACCCGAGGCUCAACCUCGGGCCUGCAGUGGGUACGGGCAGACUAGAGUGCGGUAGGGGAGACUGGAAUUCCUGGUGUAGCGGUGGAAUGCGCAGAUAUCAGGAGGAACCCCCCGCCGCGCCCCGCGCCCGGC